rnacentral:rRNA from 1 species
GACGAACGCUGGCGGCGUGCUUAACACAUGCAAGUCGAACGGAAAGGCCCUGCUUGCAGGGUACUCGAGUGGCGAACGGGUGAGUAACACGUGGGUGAUCUGCCCUGCACUUCGGGAUAAGCCUGGGAAACUGGGUCUAAUACCGGAUAGGAGCCAUUUUUAGUGUGAUGGUUGGAAAGUUUUUUCGGUGUAGGAUGAGCUCGCGGCCUAUCAGCUUGUUGGUGGGGUAAUGGCCUACCAAGGCGGCGACGGGUAGCCGGCCUGAGGGGGUGGACGGCCACAGUGGGACUGAGGUACGGCCCAGACUCCUACGGGAGGCAGCAGUGGGGAAUAUUGCACAAUGGGCGCAAGCCUGAUGCAGCGACGCCGCGUGGGGGAUGACGGCCUUCGGGUUGUAAACUCCUUUCGCUAGGGACGAAGCUUUUUGUGACGGUACCUAGAUAAGAAGCACCGGCUAACUACGUG